rnacentral:tRNA from 1 species
GGGAUAUUAGCUCAGUUGGUAGAGCAGCUGACUCUUAAUCAGCGGGUCGUAGGUUCGAUCCCUACAUAUCCA